GACUUUUUCAAGGCGUUCAGAUUUGCGUGCACUAUUCCAUGUCGUAUCCGUAUAAACUCGUGAAAGAGAAAGCGAGAAAUCUCCUACUGCUUCUGUCCACAUUCUGAAGUGUUCAUCAGAUGGGUACAUCUAUCACAGGAGGCCACGAAAAACCAUACGGAAAGAUGAUGAUGCUACGUAACAUUGUGGAAAACUGGAUGGAUUUAGACUUCUUACAUGCAAGACUUGCAAGGCAAGAAAACAGAGAAAACCUGAAUUCAAAACAUGAAACUGGUGUGUGCAGUGAUGAUGAUGAAGAACAGCAGUGUGCUGAUGAAGUAAAUGUUGAAGAUGCUGUAGUGCCAUGGACAAGACCCUGCAUCCCUCCACCUGCCUGCGUGUCCUCAUCUGAGCCAGAUGCUGGUGUGGUCUCUUCAUCUUCAGUAUGAAUCGGUUUCUCAGGCAUGGACAGCCUCACCUCACAACUCUGUUCCAGUCUGACUGCAGCACUGAGGGAUGUGAUGGCAAAAACAAGUGAAGUCCAGAAGUCCAGCAUGCAGCAGAACAUGGGGUUUUGUCUGAAAUACAUGAUUGUUUGAAUAAGUUUGAAUAAAGCUUAGUUUCGUA
rnacentral:lncRNA from 1 species